CAGCACCUCAAGUGGUCAGGAUGAUUAUUGGGCCUAAAGCAUCCGUAGCCGGCUCUAUAAGUUUUCGGUUAAAUCUGUAUGCUCAACAUACAGGCUGCCGGGAAUACUGCAGAGCUAGGGAGUGGGAGAGGUAGACGGUACUCGGUAGGAAGGGGUAAAAUCCUUUGAUCUAUUGAUGACCACCUGUGGCGAAGGCGGUCUACCAGAACACGUCCGACGGUGAGGGAUGAAAGCUGGGGGAGCAAACCGGAUUAGAUACCCGAGUAGUCC
rnacentral:rRNA from 1 species